rnacentral:misc_RNA from 1 species
UACGGAGGGUGCAAGCGUUGUCCGGAUUUAUUGGGUUUAAAGGGUGCGUAGGCGGCCUAUUAAGUCAGUGGUGAAAGCCUGGAGCUUAACUUCAGAACUGCCAUUGAUACUGAUGGGCUUGAGUACAGACGAGGUAGGCGGAAUUUAUGGUGUAGCGGUGAAAUGCAUAGAUACCAUAAGGAACACCGAUUGCGGAGGCAGCUUACUAGGCUGUAACUGACGCUGAGGCACGAAAGCGUGGGGAGCAAACAGG